rnacentral:rRNA from 1 species
UGGGGAAUAUUGCGCAAUGGGGGGAACCCUGACGCAGCCAUGCCGCGUGAAUGAAGAAGGCCUUCGGGUUGUAAAGUUCUUUCGGUAUUGAGGAAGGUUGAUGUGUUAAUAGCACAUCAAAUUGACGUUAAAUACAGAAGAAGCACCGGCUAACUCCGUGCCAGCAGCCGCGGUAAUACGGAGGGUGCGAGCGUUAGUCGGAAUAACUGGGCGUAAAGGGCACGCAGGCGGUUAUUUAAGUGAGGUGUGAAAGCCCCGGGCUUAACCUGGGAAUUGCAUUUCAGACUGGGUAACUAGAGUACUUUAGGGAGGGGUAGAAUUCCACGUGUAGCGGUGAAAUGCGUAGAGAUGUGGAGGAAUACCGAAGGCGAAGGCAGCCCCUUGGGAAUGUACUGACGCUCAUGUGCGAAAGCGUGGGGAGCAAACAGGAUUAGAUACCCUGGUAGUCCAUGCUGUAAACGCUGUCGAUUUGGGGGUUAGGGUUUAACUCUGGCGCCCGUAGCUAACGUGAUAAAUCGACCGCCUGGGGAGUACGGCCGCAAGGUU